GUAUUGCAGGAUGGAAGUGAAGGGAGUGGCAGAAAGAAGGGAAAAAACACGACGGAGCGGUGGAGUAUAACAGCCCAUACAGAUCAGCGAUCUCCUGUCAAAUCUCCCAACUUGAAAACUGAGUGGACCGAUAGUGGGGCAGGGAUGCAAUAGUAUAUGGAAACACUGCAGUUUUCUCUCUUCCUCUUUCUAAUGCUAGCACAGUAGCUCUGCAAUCAGCCUUCUCAGCGAUCAGCAUUUUGUUUUCGUCCACCUUAUCUCUUGUUUGCAGUUCCCUCUCUGUCAUUAUUAUGCUAUUAGUUUUUUAUCCUGGGGCUAAAACAUUGACCUUAAAGUCACUGCUAUGCUCAAAACAUGGUUUCCAAGAUAGCUUUUUCCUCACCCCACAUCUGAGAGUUGUCCCUAUGUCUUUCUCUCUCAAUACAUGAACACACACACAGAGACACGUACAUAUACAGUUCCAGUUUAAAUUCACUGUAUAUACUCGUGAAGACAAAAUUAUGCACAUUCAUUUGGAUCCAGUUCUAAACUCUGCUCAUAAACACGACAUCACUGUUUCCUCUUUGAAUAAAUGGCAUGAGAGUGUCACAGAACUAAAAACCCAUUUGUUUUAUUACACUGAAGCAAGAAAGGAGAUUGUGUGGAAUCCAAUUAAAGAUUUCAGCACACCUGAGUCUCACUCACGACCUUUUUAUUUUCCUGUCCUGUCAUGGUGGAAGAAGACGGAGGGAGAGUGUUAUUUUUAUAUCAUUGUAUUAUUUCAAUCAUAAUGCUUUCAUUCUUUUCAAUCAUCAUUCAAAAAAGAUGAGAUGCUGUGUAAAAUGUAAAUAACAACAUUAUUGUUUUAAAUAUUUAUGUUGUAUUUUUAAGUUAAACUUGUGCAAAAACAUCAAAUGUUAAUAUUUGUUUUAGUCCCGCAUUUUAAAGAAAAGGUCAAUUCAGUGCUCUGUAAUAGACUGCAACAAUUUAAAGAUAAAUCUGUCACCAUAAAAAAUGCAAAGAUUCAGAGAAUCCAGAGAAAUCGUUGUUUGUAAUAGUGCAAUAAUGCUGUUAAUAAUGACUUUAACCCACACUGCAAUAAUAAAGCUAAAGCAGUUUUG